CUUCAGUGCCACAAGUGCGCUGAGGGCCCUCAUAAAGAAGGAUUAGUUAAGAAGGAAGAGAGUUCUCAUUUCCUGGUUAUUGUGCAAGUAUCUUAAGCACAAAACCGGUAAGACUAGUGUCCAUGGCUAAUCUCCACAUAGCCAACAUCUGUGAUUCGUUCCAUCUGAACUCAUCCAUGCAACCACCUGCAAGUUCAGACCACCGAUCCUGAGAUGAGCUAAGUGUGUAGAUAAAAUGAGACAACUGAGCCUCAGCGAGAUGAGGAGCCUGCCUGAGCCGCAGGGUGCGCUCCUGGCCACUUCACUGUAUAAGUUCUUAUGUGUCACAGGAAAUGAUGCUUUUCAGCCACCUACCAAACCAGUGACCCUGGAGAUAAAACUAGAUGGUGGAGUUAAAAGACUUUUUGGAAGUCAAAUGUGUGGCAUAAGAAUGUGUACUCCUAAUCAAGAUGAUCCAACAUGGUGGCCAAAGAUCGGUAGCCCUUGCUCUCUGGCCAAAAUGGUCCCCUGAAGAAGGAUACAGACUUGGGCUCCAAACCAGUCAUUCAACACAAGUCUACAUCUUUUUCAAAAACUUCAAGCUGAAUAUAAUUAUACUGAUAAUAAAAACAGUCUUCACUAAGGGGAAACUGUAGUCUCCAGAGAAAAACAUCGGCCAACAAUGAAGAGAAAGAGGAAGAAGAGACAAGAGAAGGAAGGGAGAGGCUCUGAUUGUGUCAAGUCAGAAAUCGCUCCCUGGAAGCAGGCCAGCAGGUUAUUUGCUACCCUGGUGCAUCUGGCAAGGAGCCCAACCCAGCUGCUGGCCUGAAGCAUCUUUUGCUUUCUGAGAUUGACACAUCCAGAUAAGAAAACUGAAGGCCAUGAAGAAUUACAGAAACUUUCAUGUACCUUAAUAUGGGCAUAUUAAGAAGCUGCUUGGCUGAGAUAACACACAAAGCAUUGGAUGUCGCAGCAUUUGGAGGACUGAGCUCAUCCUCUUGGUAGCGAUGGUGAUGGGAGUUUCCCUUCAAAGCAAUGGACGUCUCUACUGUAGGUCAUUCUGUGCUAGGAAGGUGCAGGACACCAGGAAUACAGAAGCCUGGAGAUACUUGGAGAGGAAAGGCCAAACUUCUGGGGACAAAGCAAGGUGGGAAGCCAGAGGUCGGGAAAAAGAAGGGAGCUUCAAAUACCACCCUCUGGGUAUUUAUUCACCAUGUUAUUCUUCAUGAUUACUGGACUGUCCUUGCGCUUUCAGUCAAGCUCCAGGCCUUCCUCUUAACUGUGCUUUGGACAUUUGGAAAAUAGGCCAGCACUCACGAUAGGUCAGAUAGAUCUGAUCAGCAGCGCUCUGGAAAAGCAUGUGGUUGGGAGGGGGUACAGGGGGCAAAGACAAAGAUGUGUCAAUAUGCCUCCAGGGGUGCCCAGAGGGAGGAAAGCUAUGUCAUUUGAGAGUGAAAGAGGCUUGUACUUUAGUAGUGUAGAUUUUAAAGGGCACUUAAUUAUAGGUUCAAGCUCAGUUGUGUUGAAAUAAUUUACACUGUCAAUAAUAGCUAAAGGACAACUCCAUAUGUGGUAGAAGAUGUGAUGCUUCCUUUUCUAAUCAACCAUUUCUCAAAAAACACAUAGAAUUUUUAUAAAAAAGAUAACAUGCAUUCUUGGUGUUAGAUUUCAUGGAAGUAUUAUUUAAAUAUAUGAAAAUAUAAAUCUAGGUUAAAAGUCCUUGUCCUUACAGUUCUUACAAAAUCAUAGAAAUUAAUAUGAAUAAAAUUAUAAAAGCACUCUAAUUAACAAUAUCAGUAGCUGUUGUCACCAGUGAUGCUCUUUGGUGAAACUAAAUGACCAAAAUGUGGUUUAAGAGCAGAAAUUAAUUUGUUCAGUUCCAGUUCUACAUUUAAUUCUGUUCCAGAAUGUUUAGGGCUUAUUUGAUUCGCUGGUGCAUGUGUGUAGUACAUGAUG